CACGUACAUUUUCAAUGACCGUAACGUACAAAACCAUAUGAUGCUGCAUUAAACUGACAAGUGCUUGUCGAAUUUUUGGUCCUGGCAACGAAGUCCGUUUUUGUAGCAUGGGAAUCGUUAAACGACCAUGCCUCAAAAGUGCACUAGCUACUGCCUAAAUUGACAAUAAAUUGGUUAAUACAAAAGACUUUGCAACCUCAACUUCAGAUUUAGAAAUACAAUUGAAUCCUUACCGAGCAACAAUCACCGAAAAAUUCCUCUACGAGAAUCUCACACAGUUCUACAGCAUACUGUGACAUGAUCAAGCAGAUUACCAAUCUUGCUUGGAAUGGUAAAUUGUUUGGCAGACGUAACUACAAAAAAGCAAAGAUUUCACAACCUAGAGUAUGCCAAUAG